CCUCCCCCUAGAGGCUUUACAGGUGUGGCUGCUGUGUCACAUGUGCGUCAGUAGGUGGCAGAGAGGAGAGAAAUGAUGUCUCUGCUCAGUGUUCUGACCUGAGAACAUAUGAAUGAUUAGUAACAAU